rnacentral:tRNA from 1 species
GUCCCAGUAGCCAAGCGGAUAAGGCAAUUGUCUUCUAAGCGAUCAUGCACAGGUUCGAAUCCUGUCUGGGACGCCA